rnacentral:piRNA from 1 species
UCAAAACUGCACUCAAGUUUGCUCAGGUGU